rnacentral:rRNA from 1 species
GAUGAACGCUGGCGGCGUGCCUAAUACAUGCAAGUCGAGCGAACAGACGAGGAUCUUGCUCCUCUGACGUUAGCGGCGGACGGGUGAGUAACACGUGGAUAACCUACCUAUAAGACUGGGAUAACUUCGGGAAACCGGAGCUAAUACCGGAUAAUAUAUUGAACCGCAUGGUUCAAUAGUGAAAGACGGUUUUGCUGGCACUUAUAGAUGGAUCCGCGCCGCAUUAGCUAGUUGGUAAGGUAACGGCUUACCAAGGCAACGAUGCGUAGCCGACCUGAGAGGGUGAUCGGCCACACGGGAACUGAGACACGGUCCAGACUACUACGGGAGGCAGCAGUAGGGAAUCUUCCGCAAUGGGCGAAAGCCUGACGGAGCAACGCCGCGUGAGUGAUGAAGGUCUUCGGAUCGUAAAACUCUGUUAUUAGGGAAGAACAAAUGUGUAAGUAACUAUGCACGUCUUGACGGUACCUAAUCAGAAAGCCACGGCUAACUACGUG